rnacentral:tRNA from 1 species
GCCUUCGUGGUGUAGUGGCCAGCACGCUCAACGGGUACUCGAGAGGACCGUGGUUCGAAUCCCGGCGAGGGCA